AAUAGCUUUUUUGGUCCCUCACUUAUCACGGUUUUGCACUUUUGAUCCCUAAUAAAAAAAUUAGCACUUUUGGUCCUCCACAUUGCUUAUUUAUUUGCAAAAAUGAUCCCUAUUUAGACUAAAACUGCAAAAGUGUGUAAAUGUGAGGGACUAAUUUUGCUAAUUUUUUUCUAAAGAGACCAAAAGAGCAAAAUUGUGAUAAGUGAGGGACCAAAAGAGCUAUU
rnacentral:pre_miRNA from 1 species